AGUCUUUAUGACGCCUGGCAAGCAGGUUCCCAGAGGAAGAAGCCAGAGAGGAGAACCCAGAAUCCAAGUCCACUUUGAGGAGAGCUGGAAGGAUGAACGAGCAGUGCAGAAGAGUUAGAGCACAGCCCUAAGAAGGACACCUUGGAGACUGCACUGCAGUAGCAAGCCAACCUUUUCUGACCUCCACACGUGCCCAGGAAUUACAAAUUCUUUUACCUUCAAUGCCACUCCACUCAGCAUCUCUCUAUCAGAUGUACUUGCGAACAUUUCUGUCUUAUGGGAAGAGGAAAGAGACAAGGGAGUCCCACUGUAAGUGGAAGCCUUCA
rnacentral:lncRNA from 1 species